rnacentral:rRNA from 1 species
CCGGUUGAUCCUGCCGGAAGCUACUGCUAUCGGGAUUCGAUUAAGCCAUGCGAGUCGAGAGGGUUCGGCCCUCGGCUGACGGCUCAGUAACACGUGGAUAACCUGCCCUCAGGUAGGGGAUAAUCUCGGGAAACUGAGGAUAAUACCCUAUAGACAUCCUUUGCUGGAAUGCUUGGAUGUUCAAAGGCGACGCCUGAGGAUGGGUCUGCGGCCUAUCAGGUUGUAGUAGGUGUAAUGGACCCACUAGCCUACGACGGGUACGGGCCUUGAAAGAGGUAGCCCGGAGAUGGACUCUGAGACACGAGUCCAGGCCCUACGGGGCGCAGCAGGCGCGAAAACUUCGCAAUGCGGGAAACCGUGACGAGGGAAUCCCGAGUGCUCAUGCAAUGCAUGGGCUUUUAUGAUGUGUAAAAAGCAUUAGGAAUAAGGGCUGGGUAAGACCGGUGCCAGCCGCCGCGGUAAUACCGGCAGCUCUAGUGGUAGCCACUUUUAUUGGGCCUAAAGCGUCCGUAGCCUGUCAGAUAAAUCCUUGGGUAAAUCGUACAGCUUAACUGUGCGGCUUCCGAGGAGACUGUCUGACUUGGGACCGGGAGAGGUUGGAGGUACUCCUGGGGUAGGGGUGAAAUCCUGUAAUCCU